rnacentral:rRNA from 1 species
AGUGAACGCUGGCGGUAGGCCUAACACAUGCAAGUCGAACGGCAGCACAGUAAGAGCUUGCUCUUACGGGUGGCGAGUGGCGGACGGGUGAGGAAUACAUCGGAAUCUACUUUUUCGUGGGGGAUAACGUAGGGAAACUUACGCUAAUACCGCAUACGACCUACGGGUGAAAGCAGGGGAUCUUCGGACCUUGCGCGAUUGAAUGAGCCGAUGUCGGAUUAGCUAGUUGGCGGGGUAAAGGCCCACCAAGGCGACGAUCCGUAGCUGGUCUGAGAGGAUGAUCAGCCGCACUGGAACUGAGACACGGUCCAGACUCCUACGGGAGGAAGCAGUGGGGAAUAUUGGACAAUGGGCGCAAGCCUGAUCCAGCCAUACCGCGUGGGUGAAGAAGGCCUUCGGGUUGUAAAGCCCUUUUGUUGGGAAAGAAAAGCAGCAGGUUAAUACCCCGCUGUUCUGACGGUACCCAAAGAAUAAGCACCGGCUAACUUCGUG